rnacentral:rRNA from 1 species
GACAGAGGGUGCAAACGUUGUUCGGAAUUACUGGGCGUAAAGCGCGUGUAGGCGGUCCGGUAAGUCCGUUCCGAAAGCCCGGGGCUCAACCCCGGGAGGCGGAUGGAUACUGCAGGGCUCGAGUACGGAAGAGGCGAGUGGAAUUCCCGGUGUAGCGGUGAAAUGCGCAGAUAUCGGGAGGAACACCAGUGGCGAAGGCGGCAUCCUGGACCGGCAUUGACGCUGAGGCGCGAAAGCUAGGGUAGCAAACGGG